rnacentral:rRNA from 1 species
UAUCUGGUUGAUUCUGCCAGUAGUCAUAUGCUUCUCUCAAAGAUAAGCC